UACGUAGGGGGCAAGCGUUGUCCGGAAUCAUUGGGCGUAAAGAGCGUGUAGGCGGUCCGGUAAGUCGGCUGUGAAAGUCCAGGGCUCAACCCUGGGAUGCCGGUCGAUACUGCCGGACUAGAGUUCGGAAGAGGCGAGUGGAAUUCCCGGUGUAGCGGUGAAAUGCGCAGAUAUCGUAAGGAAGACCAGUGGCGAAGGCGGGUCUCUGGACAGUUCCUGACGCUGAGGCACGAAGGUCAGGGGAGCAAACGGG
rnacentral:rRNA from 1 species